GCAGAGGGCAAGGCAGAGGCUGGGCGCAGGUGCGCGGCGCUGUACCAGGUGUCUCCCGACCAGCCAUGAAGACAACUGGAGCAGGUGCCAUGGAGUGCUUAGAGCUUGGUCCAACAUCAAAGAUGCCGAGGUCAUCCAACUCAUCAUCAAUAGUCCUGACUUUUGUCCUGCCACUGGACUUCAGUGACUCUGCAAGAGAGUUCGAGGCUGAUGACUUUGUGAAUCUCUGUCUCACUUAAAUCCAAUUCACAAGCAAGAAUUUUCCUUUUCUGAAUAUUGUGAAGUAGGACCAGCCUUCCGCUGUCUAUCUGAGUGGCAGUCUCCUAGGGAUUCCUGCCCUAUAAGACAUUGAAUGAAAACAAAAGGUAUGCAAGGGAUACGGUAUAUAAAUAUGAAAUUAUAUACAAUUCUUUACAUAAAUUUAAAUGCAUGUGUCACUGGCACCAACAGAUCCUGCAAAAGAGCUGAAAUCUAUUGGAAAAAGACCUUAAAUCAAUUUGUGCCUUCCAGUCCUCCCGGCAGUGGGUCGGUGGGAGAAAGGAGGUGAGGGAAAGGAGGAGGGAGUUUUUCAUUUUGGACCCAGUCUUUAGCCCUAUCCCAGAGAAGCCGACCCAGCCUAGGCCAGAGGACUCCUGGACUGACUGCGCACGCAUUACUUCUGGAGAGCUGGGUCACUGAGGAACCAUCUCAACACAUUUGGGCUCUCCCUCUACCUUCAAACUCUAGAAACGGCUAAGUAUGCAUAUGUAUACCUCCUCAUUGCUCCCAUUGUAUUCCCAGGCAGUUAAGCUUUCUCAGUUUUCUGCACUGAGUUGAGUAGCAACACAGAUAACCCAAACUAUGGAGAACUUAUUUCUACUUGGUUUUGUGAUAGGAUUCUUCCUGCUGGAUUCACCAAAAGUGGUCUCUCCCACUUCAUUCCGCUGGGUUUCUGGCGGUGGAUUUGCCUUCUCUGAACUCAACAAGGAUUGAUAGUGCUUAGCAGGGUACCUCAACACAGAAAUGGAUUGAGAAGUGGGAAGAAGGAAUGAUCCAGAGGAGAGAUAUCUACCCAUCGACAAGCAGGAGCUGUCAGAACAAAUCAGCACCAUUAGGCAGGUCUAAACCAAUACUAGACCUAACCUUCGGUCCUCCUUUCGCUCUUUUUCUCCCUUGUCCUCUUCUUGCCUCCCUCUCUACUCUCUCUCCCUCUGUUUUC